AAUAACCCGGAGAUGAUAUCUGAGACACGAUAUCAGGCCCUACGGGGCGCAGCAGGCGCGAAAACUUCACAAUGUGCGAAAGCACGAUGAGGGAAUCCCAAGUGCUUGCACGUAAGUGUAAGCUGUUUCUUUGNNNAAAACGCAUUGAGAGUAAGGGCUGGGUAAGACGGGUGCCAGCCGCCGCGGUAAUACCUGCAGCUCAAGUGGUGGCCGCUAUUAUUGGGCCUAAAACGUCCGUAGCCGGUUUAUUAAAUGCCUGGGUAAAUCGUGUAGCUUAACUAUACGAAUUCCGGGUAGACUGAUAGACUUGAGACCGGGAGAAGUUAGAGGUACUCCUGGGGUAGAGGUGAAAUUCUGUAAUCCUAGGGGGACCACCAGUGGCGAAGGCGUCUGACUAGAACGGGUCUGACGGUGAGGGACGAAGCCCUGGGGCGCAAACCGGAUUAGAUACCCGGGUAGUCCAGGGUGUAAACGCUGCUUGCUUGAUGUUAGUCGGGCUCCGAGCCCGUAUAGUGUCGGCGGGAAGUUGUU
rnacentral:rRNA from 1 species